GAUGAAGAACGUAGCGAAAUGCGAUAAGUAGUGUGAAUUGCAGAAUUCAGUGAAUCAUCGAAUCUUUGAACGCACAUUGCGCCCUUUGGUAUUCCUUAGGGCAUGCCUGUUCGAGCGUCAUUUAAACCUUCAAGCUAAGCUUGGUGUUGGGUGACUGUCCGCUUCACGGCGGACUCGCCUCAAAAUUAUUGGCGGCCGGUACAUUGGCUUCGAGCGCAGCAGAAACGCGAACUCGGGCCCGUCGUAUUGGCUCCCAGAAGCUAUCUUCACAAUUGACCUCGGAUCAGGUAGGGAUACCCGCUGAACUUAAGCAUAUCAAUAAGCGGAGGA
rnacentral:misc_RNA from 1 species